rnacentral:rRNA from 1 species
UACCAGCAGCCCCGAGUGGUCGGGACGUUUUAUUGGGCCUAAAGCAUCCGUAGCCGGUUCUACAAGUCUUCCGUUAAAUCCACCUGCUUAACAGAUGGGCUGCGGAAGAUACUAUAGAGCUAGGAGGCGGGAGAGGCAAGCGGUACUCGAUGGGUAGGGGUAAAAUCCGUUGAUCCAUUGAAGACCACCAGUGGCGAAGGCGGCUUGCCAGAACGCGCUCGACGGUGAGGGAUGAAAGCUGGGGGAGCAAACCGG